UACACGAGCGGCGAACGGGUGAGUAACACGUGAGCAACCUGCCCCCGACUCCGGGAUAAGCGGUGGAAACGCCGUCUAAUACCGGAUACGACACACCGCCUCAUGGCGGUGUGUGGAAAGUUUUUCGGUCGGGGAUGGGCUCGCGGCCUAUCAGCUUGUUGGUGGGGUAACGGCCUACCAAGGCGAUUACGGGUAGCCGGCCUGAGAGGGCGACCGGCCACACUGGGACUGAGACACGGCCCAGACUCCUGCGGGAGGCAGCAGUGGGGAAUAUUGCGCAAUGGGCGAAAGCCUGACGCAGCGACGCCGCGUGGGGGAUGACGGCCUUCGGGUUGUAAACCUCUUUUACCACCAACGCAGGCUCCCAGUUCUCUGGGGGUUGACGGUAGGUGGGGAAUAAGGACCGGCUAACUACGUGCCAGCAGCCGCGGUAAUACGUAGGGUCCGAGCGUUGUCCGGAAUUAUUGGGCGUAAAGAGCUCGUAGGCGGCGUGUCGCGUCUGCUGUGAAAGACCGGGGCUUAACUCCGGUUCUGCAGUGGAUACGGGCAUGCUAGAGGUAGGUAGGGGAGACUGGAAUUCCUGGUGUAGCGGUGAAAUGCGCAGAUAUCAGGAGGAACACCGGUGGCGAAGGCGGGUCUCUGGGCCUUACCUGACGCUGAGGAGCGAAAGCAUGGGGAGCGAACAGGAUUAGAUACCCUGGUAGUCCAUGCCGUAAACGUUGGGCGCUAGGUGUGGGGACUUUCCACGGUUUCCGCGCCGCAGCUAACGCAUUAAGCGCCCCGCCUGGGGAGUACGGCCGCAAGGCUAAAACUCAAAGGAAUUGACGGGGGCCCGCACAAGCGGCGGAGCAUGUUGCUUAAUUCGACGCAACGCGAAGAACCUUACCAAGGUUUGACAUCGCCCGUGG
rnacentral:rRNA from 2 species